rnacentral:rRNA from 1 species
CCCUUAGAUGUCCUGGGCUGCACGCGCGCUACACUGAUGUGUCCAGUAAGCACCUAACCUCUUCCGAAAGGAACGGGUAACCUUUGCAGAGCACAUCGUGAUGGGGAUAGAUUAUUGCAAUUAUUAGUCUUGAACGAGGAAUUCCUAGUAAGCACAAGUCAUCAGCUUGUGUUGAUUACGUCCCUGCCCUUUGUACACACCGCCCGUCGCUCCUACCGAUUGAAUGUUCCGGUGAGCUCUUCGGACUGCGCGGUCUGCAGUUUCUGCGUUCCGUGCGGAAAGUUGCGCAAACCUUAACAUUUAGAGGAAGGAGAAGUCGUAACA